rnacentral:rRNA from 1 species
AUUGAACGCUGGCGGCAUGCCUUACACAUGCAAGUCGAACGGCAGCACGGAGCUUGCUCUGGUGGCGAGUGGCGAACGGGUGAGUAAUAUAUCGGAACGUACCCUAGAGUGGGGGAUAACGUAGCGAAAGUUACGCUAAUACCGCAUACGAUCUAAGGAUGAAAGUGGGGGAUCGCAAGACCUCAUGCUCGUGGAGCGGCCGAUAUCUGAUUAGCUAGUUGGUAGGGUAAAAGCCUACCAAGGCAUCGAUCAGUAGCUGGUCUGAGAGGACGACCAGCCACACUGGAACUGAGACACGGUCCAGACUCCUACGGGAGGCAGCAGUGGGGAAUUUUGGACAAUGGGCGAAAGCCUGAUCCAGCAAUGCCGCGUGAGUGAAGAAGGCCUUCGGGUUGUAAAGCUCUUUUGUCAGGGAAGAAACGGUGAGAGCUAAUAUCUCUUGCUAAUGACGGUACCUGAAGAAUAAGCACCGGCUAACUACGUGCCAGCAGCCGCGGUAAUACGUAGGGUGCAAGCGUUAAUCGGAAUUACUGGGCGUAAAGCGUGCGCAGGCGGUUUUGUAAGUCUGAUGUGAAAUCCCCGGGCUCAACCUGGGAAUUGCAUUGGAGACUGCAAGGCUAGAAUCUGGCAGAGGGGGGUAGAAUUCCACGUGUAGCAGUGAAAUGCGUAGAUAUGUGGAGGAACACCGAUGGCGAAGGCAGCCCCCUGGGUCAAGAUUGACGCUCAUGCACGAAAGCGUGGGGAGCAAACAGGAUUAGAUACCCUGGUAGUCCACGCCCUAAACGAUGUCUACUAGUUGUCGGGUCUUAAUUGACUUGGUAACGCAGCUAACGCGUGAAGUAGACCGCCUGGGGAGUACGGUCGCAAGAUUAAAACUCAAAGGAAUUGACGGGGACCCGCACAAGCGGUGGAUGAUGUGGAUUAAUUCGAUGCAACGCGAAAAACCUUACCUACCCUUGACAUGGCUGGAAUCCUUGAGAGAUCAGGGAGUGCUCGAAAGAGAGCCAGUACACAGGUGCUGCAUGGCUGUCGUCAGCUCGUGUCGUGAGAUGUUGGGUUAAGUCCCGCAACGAGCGCAACCCUUGUCAUUAGUUGCUACGAAAGGGCACUCUAAUGAGACUGCCGGUGACAAACCGGAGGAAGGUGGGGAUGACGUCAAGUCCUCAUGGCCCUUAUGGGUAGGGCUUCACACGUCAUACAAUGGUACAUACAGAGCGCCGCCAACCCGCGAGGGGGAGCUAAUCGCAGAAAGUGUAUCGUAGUCCGGAUUGUAGUCUGCAACUCGACUGCAUGAAGUUGGAAUCGCUAGUAAUCGCGGAUCAGCAUGUCGCGGUGAAUACGUUCCCGGGUCU